CCUCAAACUGCCAACGAAUCGGCAAACAGCAGUAAACUACUAUCGGCAGCGCGCUUCUAUGAUUUCAGACUUUUAUGUUUAUAUAAAAACUAAGAUUUCU